UAAUGAUUUUUCUAAACUUGAUUUUGAUUUUUUGAUUUACAAACAUUUAAAACGAUUUUGAAUAAAACUUUAAAUUCGACGAUAAGUAAAAGCCUAGGUAAGAUUGGUAUAUUUUGAAAAUGUCUGGAUUUGUUACAUUAUAAUUUCUCCAGGUUUGACUCUUUUGAAUUUUGUUUAAGGAACGCAUGUAAAAUGAUUUAGACAAACAACCAGUAAGAUCUAGUUUGUUCUAUAAAAGUAAUUUAAACUGGACUGUUUAAUUCACAUUGUUAUUCAUUUUUGAUGGUAAAUGUAAGCUUUACAACUACAUUUUUAAGUUUUUGUUAUUGUUUUGUUUCGUUUGUUUAAUCCUAUUUUUACAAGAUUGGUUUAAGAAAAGGUCUGCAUUUGUUUGAUAUUCUGGCAAAACGUUACUUUGGAAACAUGUCUUUUGAAGCGGGUGAUUACAAGGUUUUGCUGUUUUCCAUCGGGUAGGAACAAUAGUUUAACAUAAUAGAAACGUAAAUUGAAGGGAUCACAUCCACCAUUUGAUGAACAGAACUGGACAAAGUAGGAGAUAAGGUUUCAAGUGAUGUGUUGCUCAUGGUUUUACACGCGGACUGCCCUGGAGUUUCGAACUUUGGACUCUGUCACACAAGCUGUUGUCAUGCGAGGCGGGGGUGGGGCUGCUUGGAGAAGCGGCUUCACACUUAUUUCGAAGAUAGCAGCCACAGAGUCACGAGCGGUGGAGGAUUCACUCUGACACGGGUUUGCAGCCAUUUUCCUGGUGCCCUGUGGGUGUGGUCUCAUUCAAAGUCUGCGUUCUUUGAUAAAAAGGAUUAAAAUAAUUUCCCGGAUGGAAAAUAACAAAGCAAAUUUAUUUUUUAGGUGAAACCAUCGUUUGAUUAUACUGACAUUAAUGAAGAUGAUAAUAAAGAAUGUUGUAAUGGUGUUUCUGAUGCUAAUGAAAUUCAUGUUGAAAACAAAAUGUCUGUUUAAUAACCUGUGACAGGUCAUUUCACGAGAUUUAGUUUCCUCACGAGGAGAUUUCAUUUUCUCCUUGACAUCUCUCUGUAAUAUUGACCUAAUAAUCCCAUUUUCAGUGAGCAACGGAUGCUCAGGUGGAAGCCUGAGGUUUCCGACCGAAGAAGAUCAAGCUGCAAGAGGAUCAUCAUAAACUUUUAUUGCGUGUUUUUUCGUUCGUUGUGAACUCUGGAAAGGACUUUCGUUUUUUUUUUUUUUUUUGCGCGCAUUUUUUGAACAAUUCCUGACGAAGACUUCAUAUUUUUUUUGAGAGACUGUUCAUGGACAUUUAAAAAAAAAAAAAAAAAACAGAAAAAGACGAGCAACAGAUUGUAAUUUUGUGUGUUUCUCAUUUGACAGAUUGUAAUUUUGUGGUGAAUGUUGUCCUUUAAGUUGCAGACAUUUCUUACUAAUUUUUCUAUGUAUGUUCCUGUUUUAUUUUUUUCAUUUUAUACUUUGGGUUUUGUUUGUCCUGUGUUUUUGGUUCUAUUGUGAUAAUUUUGUUUUAUGAUUUUAUUUUUGGGAGGUUAAGUAUUUCUUACCCUUGGGUUUUGUUUAAAAAGGGGGACUGGAUAUAAUUAGGGUACGUCACUCUUUUGGUUUUCAUUUUUUGGUUUUUUUCGUUUUUCUUUUAGUUUAAUACACAGUUUUUGGCUCUGUAUUAGAAGGCUUAAUCAAUUUUAGUGAGGUCUGUUUUUCAGACCUCAAAAGGGGGACUGUUAAAGAAAAAUAAUUAUUGUUUGGUGCUUAAUACAGCUAAUCCACGACAUGUGUAAAGGUAUAGCCAACACUUUAAUUUGGAAUAGUUUCUGUUGAGCAGUUGGGAAUGCAGCAGACAAGGCAGGGCCUUUUUUCCUCCCCCGCUGACAGACACAAAGCUAUAAAAUUUACACUCUGAUAGGAGUUACAGACUCUUUGGCGCCUCUCCCUCGUACCUGGCGCGGCCCAAGACGAAGUCGUCCGCCCUUUCACUUAGAUAAAAGCCAGACAUCGGAGCUGAGAUGGGGGAAGUCCCAGGAUCUCUGGGUGUUGAGGGAGUUUCUGAUUGGUCAAAGAACGGAACGCCUUGGCUGCAUAUAUUAAAUAGGGAAACACCUUUUUACUUUAAGAUUCCGUGUUAAGAAAAAACGAGAGAAAGUUUUUUCAUCUUUGUCUGCACGUGGGCGCCUUUGUCUGUCUUUAUGUUCGUUUGUCUUCCCUUGUGUGUCUUAUUUUUAUGAGAAAAUGCAUAUCUCUGUUCCUCUGCAGCUUUGUUGUUGAUUCCUUUGUAUGAGAUUAAACUCUGUGAUCUGUGACGUCAA